UACGGGGGGAGCAAGCGUUGUUCGGAUUUACUGGGCGUAAAGCGUGCGCAGGCGGUUUUGUAAGUCAGAUGUGAAAUCCCCGGGCUUAAACUGGGAACUGCGUUUGAAACUACAAGGCUAGAGUGUGGCAGAGGGGGGUGGAAUUCCACGUGUAGCAGUGAAAUGCGUAGAGAUGUGGAGGAACACCGAUGGCGAAGGCAGCCCCCUGGGUUAACACUGACGCUCAGGCACGAAAGCGUGGGGAGCAAACAGG
rnacentral:rRNA from 1 species